rnacentral:rRNA from 1 species
UGCCGAAACAAGGCGAAACCGCGAAUGGCUCAUUAAAUCAGUUAUGGUUCCUUAGAUCGUUUCUUCCUACUUGGAUAACUGUGGCAAUUCUAGAGCUAAUACAUGCAGUGAGCCCGAAGCCCCUCGGGGCGACGGGUGCUUUUAUUAGACCAAGAUCAAUCGGGCUUCGGUCCGUUUUGUGUGGUGACUCUGGAUAACUUUGUGCUGAUCGCACGGCCACGAGCCGGCGACGUUUCUUUCAAGUGUCUGCCUUAUCAACUGUCGAUGGUAGGUUAUGCGCCUACCAUGGUUGUUACGGGUAACGGAGAAUCAGGGUUCGAUUCCGGAGAGGGAGCCUGAGAAACGGCUACCACAUCCAAGGAAGGCAGCAGGCGCGCAAAUUACCCACUCCCGGCACGGGGAGGUAGUGACGAAAAAUAACAAUACGGGACUCUUUUGAGGCCCCGUAAUUGAAAUGAGUACACUCUAAAUCCUUUAACGAGGAUCCAUUGGAGGGCAAGUCUGGUGCCAGCAGCCGCGGUAAUUCCAGCUCCAAUAGCGUAUACUAAAGUUGCUGCGGUUAAAAAGCUCGUAGUUGGAUCUCAGUUACAGGCGGGAAGUGCGUGGACACCACGUUACGGCCCGUGCUGAACAUCAUGCCUGUCGUGGCUUGGUUCCCUUCAUCAGGUGCCUUGCUUUGACCGGCGCGUUUACUUUGAAAAAAUUAGAGUGCUCAACGCAGGCGAUUCGCCUGAAUAACAGUGCAUGGAAUAAUAGAACAAGAUCCUGUUUCUGUUCUGUUGGUUUUUGGAAUACAGGAUAAUGAUUAAGAGGGACAGACGGGGGCAUUCGUAUUGCGGCGCUAGAGGUGAAAUUCUUGGACCGUCGCAAGACGAACUACUGCGAAAGCAUUUGCCAAGAAUGUUUUCAUUGAUCAAGAACGAAAGUUAGAGGUUCGAAGGCGAUCAGAUACCGCCCUAGUUCUAACCAUAAACGAUGCCAACCAGCGAUCCGCCUGAGUUACUCAAAUGACUCGGCGGGCAGCUUCCGGGAAACCAAAGUAUUUGGGUUCCG